GACGAACGCUGGCGGCGUGCCUAAUACAUGCAAGUCGAGCGGACGGAUGGGAGCUUGCUCCCAGACCGUCAGCGGCGGACGGGUGAGUAACACGUGGGCAACCUGCCUGUAAGACUGGGAUAACUCCGGGAAACCGGGGCUAAUACCGGAUAACUCUUUCCCUCACAUGAGGGAAAGCUGAAAGAUGGCAUCUCGCUAUCACUUACAGAUGGGCCCGCGGCGCAUUAGCUAGUUGGUGAGGUAACGGCUCACCAAGGCGACGAUGCGUAGCCGACCUGAGAGGGUGAUCGGCCACACUGGGACUGAGACACGGCCCAGACUCCUACGGGAGGCAGCAGUAGGGAAUCUUCCGCAAUGGACGAAAGUCUGACGGAGCAACGCCGCGUGAGUGAUGAAGGUUUUCGGAUCGUAAAACUCUGUUGUCAGGGAAGAACAAGUACCGGAGUAACUGCCGGUACCUUGACGGUACCUGACCAGAAAGCCACGGCUAACUACGU
rnacentral:rRNA from 1 species